GAUUAACGCUGGCGGCGUGCAUAACACAUGCAAGUCGAACGAUGAAACUUUACUGACUUCUUCGGAAUGAUUUAAAGCGGAUUAGUGGCGAACGGGUGAGUAACGCGUGAGUAACCUGCCUUACACAAGGGGAUAGCCUCUGGAAACGGAGAAUAAUACCCUAUGAAACCAGACAAUCGCAUGAUAAUCUGGUCAAAAUGUUUAGUGGUGUAAGAUGGACUUGCGUCUGAUUAGCUAGUUGGUGAGAUAAAAGCUCACCAAGGCAACGAUCAGUAGCCGGCUUGAGAGAGAGUACGGCCACAUUGGGACUGAGACACGGCCCAGACUCCUACGGGAGGCAGCAGUGGGGAAUUUUGCACAAUGGGGGAAACCCUGAUGCAGCGACGCCGCGUGAUUUAGAAGGCCUUCGGGUUGUAAAAAUCUUUUGUAUAGGAAGAAAAUGACAGUACUAUACGAAUAAGGUCCGGCUAAUUACGUG
rnacentral:rRNA from 1 species